rnacentral:rRNA from 1 species
AUUGAACGCUGGCGGCAGGCCUAACACAUGCAAGUCGAGCGAACCUAGCUUGCUAGGUGAGCGGCGAACGGGUGAGUAACACGUAGGAAUCUGCCCGAUAGUGGGGGACAACGUUUCGAAAGGGACGCUAAUACCGCAUACGCCCUACGGGGGAAAGCAGGGGAUCUGCGGACCUUGCGCUAUCGGCUGAGCCUGCGUCGGAUUAGCUAGUUGGGGGGGUAAAGGCCCACCAAGGCGACGAUCCGUAGCUGGUCUGAGAGGAUGAUCAGCCACACCGGAACUGAGACACGGUCCGGACUCCUACGGGAGGCAGCAGUGGGGAAUAUCGGACAAUGGGGGCAACCCUGAUCCAGCCAUGCCGCGUGUGUGAAGAAGGCCUUCGGGUUGUAAAGCACUUUAAUAGGGGAGGAAGGUUCGUUGGCUAAUACCCAGCGGAAUUGACGUUACCCUCAGAAUAAGCACCGGCUAACUCCGUGCCAGCCGCCGCCGUAAGAC